CACGUAGGGCGCAAGCGUUGUCCGGAAUUAUUGGGCGUAAAGAGCUCGUAGGCGGUCUGUUGCGUCCGCUGUGAAAACUCGGGGCUUAACCCCGAGCCUGCAGUGGAUACGGGCAGACUAGAGGUAGGUAGGGGAGAAUGGAAUUCCCGGUGUAGCGGUGAAAUGCGCAGAUAUCGGGAGGAACACCGGUGGCGAAGGCGGUUCUCUGGGCCUUACCUGACGCUGAUGUGCGAAAGCGUGGGGAGCAAACAGG
rnacentral:rRNA from 1 species